rnacentral:rRNA from 2 species
CAUGCAAGUCGAGCGAAUGGAUUAAGAGCUUGCUCUUAUGAAGUUAGCGGCGGACGGGUGAGUAACACGUGGGUAACCUGCCCAUAAGACUGGGAUAACUCCGGGAAACCGGGGCUAAUACCGGAUAACAUUUUGAACCGCAUGGUUCGAAAUUGAAAGGCGGCUUCGGCUGUCACUUAUGGAUGGACCCGCGUCGCAUUAGCUAGUUGGUGAGGUAACGGCUCACCAAGGCAACGAUGCGUAGCCGACCUGAGAGGGUGAUCGGCCACACUGGGACUGAGACACGGCCCAGACUCCUACGGGAGGCAGCAGUAGGGAAUCUUCCGCAAUGGACGAAAGUCUGACGGAGCAACGCCGCGUGAGUGAUGAAGGCUUUCGGGUCGUAAAACUCUGUUGUUAGGGAAGAACAAGUGCUAGUUGAAUAAGCUGGCACCUUGACGGUACCUAACCAGAAAGCCACGGCUAACUACGUGCCAGCAGCCGCGGUAAUACGUAGGUGGCAAGCGUUAUCCGGAAUUAUUGGGCGUAAAGCGCGCGCAGGUGGUUUCUUAAGUCUGAUGUGAAAGCCCACGGCUCAACCGUGGAGGGUCAUUGGAAACUGGGAGACUUGAGUGCAGAAGAGGAAAGUGGAAUUCCAUGUGUAGCGGUGAAAUGCGUAGAGAUAUGGAGGAACACCAGUGGCGAAGGCGACUUUCUGGUCUGUAACUGACACUGAGGCGCGAAAGCGUGGG